rnacentral:lncRNA from 1 species
AUGACGGGUGGCAGGGUAGCCCCGGGAGGGAAGAGGGGGUCCGGUCAGGCGCGGGCAGGGGAGGAGACAAUGGGCCAAGGGGACUUCAGGGAAGGAGGGGGAGCGGGAGGAAGAGGAGGAGGAAGGGGGAGGAAGAGAGGAGGAAGAGAGGAGGAAGGGAGAGGAGGAGGAAGGGGGAGGAAGGGGGGAGGAAAGGGGAGGAAGAGAGGAGGAAGGAGGAGGAAGGGGGAGGAAGAGGAGGAGGAAAGGGGAGGAAGGGAGAAAGAGGAGGAGGGAGAGAAGCAGCAGCAGCUCCCACGGUGGCUCGGGGGGAGGAGAGGAGGAGGAGGAGGAGGAGGAGGGAGGGGAGGAGGAAGAAGAGCAGCAGCAGUGUCAGUCCCCUGGUGGCGUGUCCCCCUCCCCGGGCGCCCCCGCGUCCCGCCCCUCCCCGGGCGCCUCCGCCCCCCACCCGCUGCCCCGGUGCCCCUCGGCCUCGCCGUGCGCGCCCCCUCCCCUCCUCCCCCUCCCCCUCCCCCUCCCCGCCCCCCCAUGGCCCGCUCGGGCCUCCGGCGGCGGCCCGGGCCCGACACGGACGGGGGGGCGGGGGACCCUCCCCGGGCCGCCCCCCGAAACCCGGACCCCCCGCCCCCGGGGCCGCACCGCCCGGAGGGCGGACGGACGGACGGGCGGGGGGAGGGGGCGGCAGACACGGGGGAGGGGGGGGAGGAGGAGGAGGAGACACCGAGGGGGGAGGAGGAGGAGGAGGAGGGAGCGGAGACGGAGGGAGGAGGAGGAGGGGGAGGAGAGACGGAGAGACGGAGGGAGGCGCGUCCACCUGGCUGUCCAGGCGCGUGGAGCGGCAGCGGUGACCGCAGUGGACGCCCGCGGCGGGAGAAGCGCCCCCUCGCCAGCCCCGGGACCCGUUCCCCCGGCCAAAGAGCUGGUGCAAGAUUCGGCCCUUGGGGAACCCGGCAGACCCCACGCCGAGACCCCCGGAUCUGAACGGCGCAAGGCCCGCUCGCCCACCCAGACGCAUCUUCAAAAUAAAAUGCCUUCCCUUUUCACACGUCCGUGGCUUAUCCGGUUUUUUUUUUUUUUUUCUCCUCCCCACUGGCCGGAGUAUCUCGCAGCCGUAUCUUGCUAUGGGAACCGGGGCCAUUAGUUAGUUAAAUAUAAUCGCCCCCCCCCCUCCCCACCUACACCCCACCCCAGAUGGCCGCUCUCCCGUAGACUGGUCCUUUUAAUCUGCAGACCUUCCGUCACCGCUCCGCCUGCCUUUGGUUAGCAGUGGCCUAUUCUCUGCCAUGCUCUGCCUUUGUAGAUAAAAACUGUGUCUUGGCAAAAGGCUCGAACAGUCGG